GGAUAGAGGGGGACCGGCAGGGUCCACAGCUGCUCCCAGGGAGGAGCCCCUACUGGGCUGGUGGGAUGGGGUGAUCCUCUGGAAGCCCGAAGGGUAGGCUCCCAGGUGCAUGGGCCCACAGCCUGAGUCAGCUAAAACCGAGAGCCUUGGGUUGGGUUUGGAGUCCAGCAGGGGCCUGAGAGGUGAGGCUGUUCUCUGCAGGGCCCCAGUAGCGUCUGUCAGGGGACCCCUGGGAGGGCCUGGGCCAGCCGGUGUGUGCCGGGCCUGCCUCUCACAGAUGCUCAGGGCAGCCACAGGGGGGACUUGCAGCAGGGGAGAGGUGCUGGCCUGCUUUGCUGUGGACUUCGCAGUGUCCGUGUGGAGGGGACCUGGGCAGGGAGGGCUGGGGCUAGGACACUGAGAAUUCGCGCUGCCACUUUGCCCGCACUCCAUGGCCAUUUCUGCAGCUGCUGUUGCUGCUGCUGCUGGCUGGGAGUUUUGUCCCCCAGCCCAGCCACCCAUUGUUUACCCCCGGCCGGGGCCAAGUCCCAGGGCUGCAGGAAGUCACUCCGCACAAUAGCAGCCUCCCUGGCAUCUGACCUUCUGGCCAUGUGACCUUGGACGAGUUCCUCAGCAUCUUCAGAUUCCAGGGCUUGGCUCAGUGCCCUUUGUAGAGCAAACGGUGUUUACCUCCAAGGCUCACUCUUCAGAGCUAAGUAUGAAGGCUGCUGAGAACCAGGAGAAGAAGGCAGGGGUCAGGAAGCUGGCAUGGCGAUGCCGCUCCCCCUGCAGCCGGCCCCAGCUGAGGUCCCCCUCUGCGGUGACCCAAGGGCUGACCUCAGCCAAACUUCUCGGCCAGGCUACUCCUGCCCAGCAGGGACAGAGGUCCCACAGCACCAGACAGGAGUGUCCUGAGAGACUGGCGAGGACAGCGCCCUGGGGACUGCGGCUCUGAUGUCCUGGCCUCCCUGGCUCCACCCCCUGCGGAAUCUCGUCUCUGGCCCCAGCUUUGGUUCCUGGCCUGGAAACCUGCCUGCUGUCCUCAGAGAUUUCAGCCUGUCUUGCGUUCCUUUGCACUCAGUCAUUCAACAAGUGGACCUGAGCAGCUCCCGGUGCCCAGCCCAGGGCCUGUGGAUCUCCGUGUUGGUUUUGCCAGAAUGCAGGAAAGACUUGGCUUUGCUGGGCCUCCAGGGGUUGCUGGCCAGUAGGAGGAGUCGCCUGGGGCCCGGGGAGGGGUCGGCUCUGACCUCGCAGGCCCAGGCUCCGCCCUCGCAGGCGCAAGCUCUGCCCUCCACAGGCGCAGCCUCGGCUCGCAGGGCGCAGGGCGACCUGGGGGUUCCUCCGCAGGCUCCCAGGGUCCCCAGGUCCGAAAGCGCUGGCCGUGGCCGUGGUGGGCCGCUUGCGGGGAACUCAGUAGAUCCCUGCGCCACAAAAAUAAAAUACAAGUGCAGAAAGUUUUAUUUUGUGAACACUUACCGUCUGCCUUCUGAAUAGUCAUCUCAGAAUACUUAAAAAUGGAAGAAAGUAAAAAUAAUGGUGAUUCUGCAACCCCACGGGGGCGUUUGCCAGCGCCCGGUGCCUUCCACCGCCGCCCCAGUGCAGCUGCUUGCGAGGUGCGGGGUCUCCUAGUGCCGCGGGGCCGGAGGGGCCCGCUGUUCUCUGUGUGGACCUCUGCAGGGUCGUCCCGGACCACACCGCCCUGGGCACGGGCCGGGGCCGGGGCAGGACAAGCCAGGGACAGACGCACCGACACAGGAUCAACCAUGGGGACCAAGGACAAACAAGCUCCGGGCGCUCAGCCUGUUACUCGGGAGGAGCAGGAUUUGGUGCUGACGCUGGCAGCAUGUGUACUAAAGCUGGAAUGAUACAGAGCUCACCACAGCUCCUGUGCAAGGAUGGAGUGCAAAUUCAUGACGCUCUCAGAGGGGGAGGGGGAGGGGGAGGAAGAAUUCUCCUUCUGGGCCGAUUAGGUCUUAAAAUAUUGGUUUUACUAUUAAAACAAACCCCCAAACAGAAACAAAAACCAAAACCUGAAACCACGUGACUCUUCACUUGGUAUGGGUAACUAAAAGCAGAAUAAAGCUUGACCUGCAGUUGGUAAAACUCUGGGCCAAGUUCUUCUUUGCUCUGCAUAGAGACAUUUUGGUCCUUUGGGAAGCAUCCAUCUAAAAGUUGGCAAAACAAGGUUUACUGGCCCCAGAUUCACCUCGUCCCCCUUUAAGACUGAGGACGGCAAGAGUACCACAGUAAGUUUCAGGAUUUGCCGGGACAGCCGAUGGCCAGAUUUUGCAACAUCCAAUUCCAGGCCUCCCUGGAAUGCCACCCAGUCUCCUGACCUGUCAUCAGCCCAGCUUCCAGGACAGGCAGAGCUGUACAGACUCCCCCACGAUGAGGCACCUGCUCGAAGCAAGAACACUAUUACAGCUGUCAUCAAAAAGUCAGAUUAUGCAUGUACUGAAGAUGUCCAGAGGCUGGACUCCUGCAUUCCAGCUGGAAAAUGGUCAGGCCAUUUCUCAAAAUGCUACCCAUGUAGUUGGUAUUUGACCCAGCAAUUCUGUUCAUUGGUAUCUAUCUGUGAAAAUGAAAACGUGUCCACACAAAACAUGUGCACAGAUGUUCAUAGCAGGAUUAUUCAGCAUGAGCAAAACAUGUAAACAAUCCAAAGGCCAUCAGCAGAUGAAUGGCUACACAAAAUGCAGUGUAUUCACACAGAGGGGGGCCAGGGAUUUAGCUCAGUGGUUCUGCCGCCUGCCUCGCAAGCACAAAGCCCUGAGUUCAAUCUCUGGUGCCAGAAAAAAAAAAAUCAAUUGUCACAUAGUGGGGUACUAUUUGGCCAUAAAGAGGGAUGAAGCAAUGCUAUAUACUAUAAUGGGGAUGAAUUUUGACAUUAUGGAGAGAUCCAGUCACAAAAGGCCACAUCUUGUAUGCUUCCCUGUAUGGGAAAUGUCCAGAAGAGGCAAAUCCACAGAAAAAGAGCGAGAUUAGUGGAUUCUAUCUAGGGUUGAAAGAAAACGGGGUUUGACUGCUAAUGAGUACAUGGCUUUCUGAGGUGAUGAAAAAGUUCUAAAUUUCAUGUUGGAGAUGUUUGCUUCAUCUGGAAGAACCUGUUGGUUGAGGCCACCACAUCCGGGGUGGUUCUUCCCUCCUCAGUUUCCAGCCUACCUGUCAAUCAUCCACAGACAUGCCCAGAGCUUUACUGAUCUCCUGGCCAGUUGUUUCUCCGUCACGUCUGCACUGACAUAUCGUAGUUAGCGAUCACAGAAGACUUAGUCUAAUCGGAGGUUGUGAGGAUUUACAUUGUUAUUUUCUUUUAAGACAGAGUUUUAGUUUUAACUCUUUCAAGUAGGCCUAUCAACCGUUCUGCAUUAGACUUCUAUAUGGGGCACUUUGAACAUGAUAUCUAGCUAUUUCAGCGCCAAAAGUUGGAAAGAAUGUCUCAUCCAUACUGAUUUGUUUUGGGGUUCAUCAAAAAUCAAUUAAGCUUGAAUAUAAUUUAUUUCUGGAGUCUUCAUUGCAUUCUGUUGAACUGCAUGCCAAGCUUUGUGCCAGUGCCGAAAAUGUCUUGACAUUUGUAGCUGUGUAUUGUGUUUUGAAAUCAGGGAGUGUGAGUCCUCCAAGUUUGAUUCUAUCUUUCAAAUUGGUUUUGCUGUUCUUGGUCCCUUGAAUUCUAUUUAAAUUUUAUGAUUAAUUUGUCAGUUUUUACCAAAAAAGCCAGAUGAGAUUGUUGACCAGAUAGCAAUGAAACUGUAGGUCAAUUUGGGGAACAUUAUCAUCUUAUAGCGUUAAGGCUUCCAAGGCCAGAAGCAUGAUGUUUUUCAUUUAUUUAAGACUUCUGGAAUUUCUUUCAAUAGUAUUUUGUAGUUCUCAAAAUACAAGUUUUACACACCUUCUGUUAAAUUUAUUCCUAAUAACUUAUUCUUUUUUGUUGUUGUUGUUGUUUGUUUGUUUUUGUUUUGUUACCAGGGAUGGAACGAGGGACCUUGCGUUUGCCAGGCAAGCGGCAGAACCACUGAGCUAAAUCCCCCGCCCUAACUUAUUCUUUUUGAUCUCAUUGCAAAUGUAAUUUUUCUUAAUUUCCUUUUAAGACCAUUCAUUUAAUAGUGCAUAAAAAUACAAAGACUUUUUGUAUAUUGAUUUUGUAUUCUGCUACCAUGCUAAUUCACUUACUCUCUUUUUUUCCAUCACAGUAGGAAUUGAACACAAGGCCCUCGCCCUGAACUACUUCCCCAGUUCUUUUUGUAUUUUUAAAUUUUGAGACAAGGUCUUGCUCAAUGUCACUAAGUUGCCCAGGCUGGCUUGAACCUGCAAUCCUCCUGCCUCAGCCUCCCAGAAUGCUAAGUUUAUAGUAUGAACCACCAUGCCCAGCGUACUUAUUAUCUUUGAUAAUAUUUUUUAGUGAUUACGUAGGAUUUUUUAUAUGUAACAUUAUGUUACCUGUGAGUAGAGUCUGGUCUUAUUUUUUCUCUUCCAAUAUGAAUUCUGAGUAUUUCUUUUUCUUGCCUAGUUGCUCUGGCAAGAACUUCCACUGCACUACUGAAUUAUAAAACAGCAGAAGCAGACAUUCCUGACUCGAUCCUGAUUCAGGAGGAAAGAAGGCAGUCUUUCACCAUAGGAAUGCUACGUGCUUUUCUCGGAUGAGAUUCAGAUUGAGAAAGUUCUUUCCUAUUCCUAAAUUAAUGAGUAUUUUUACCAUGAAAGGAUACUGGAUUUUCCCAGUGCAUUUCCUGCACUUAUUGAGAUGAUAGUGUGUUUUUUGUUUUUUGUCCUUUUUGUGGCCUUUCUAUUGACAACUUAUAUUACAUUAACUGAUUUUUGGAUGUUAAACCAACCACAAUGCUGGACAAAUUCCACCUGACUGUAUGUUGUUGGACUCAGUUUGCUAGUGUUUUAUUGAAGAUUUUUAUACCUAUAUUCAUAAAUGAUAAUGUUCUAUAGUUUUCUUUUCUGAAGGUGUCACAGGAUAAUGAUACAUCUGGCUUUGGUAUCAAGAUAAAGCUGGCCUCAUAGAAUGAGAAGAGAUUUUUUUCCCUUCUCUUUAAUUUUUUUUUUUUUUUUUGGUACCAGGGAUUGGACUCGGGUCCUUGCGCUUGUGCAGCAGGCAGCGAAACUACUGAGCUAAAUCCCCGGCCCCCGUUCUGUUCAAUAUUUUGAAGAGUUUGUAAAAGUAGGUUUUAGAACUUAAAAGUAUUUUGGAGAAUUCACCAGUGAAGUUAUCCAGGCCUUUGUGGAAAAUAAUCACUAAUUUAAGUUCUUGUUAUAGAUCUACUUAGGUUUUCUAAUUCUUCCUGAGUCACUUUUGUCAGUUUGCAGUUUUCUAGAAAUCUAAUUUUGUCUACUUUGUUUGACUUGUUGGCACAUAGUUUUCUUCGUACUCUGUUAUAAGCCUUUCAUUUCUGUAAGAUUGGUACUGCUGUCUCCCAUCUUUAUUGCUAUACCUUAAUUUACUGUAUGAACCACCAGAAUGUAUUUGUUCUAUCUGCUGUGGGUAGAUAUAUGGGCAGUUACCUGGCCCAUUCUUCCAUUCUUUGGUUUCAUAACAAUUGUUCUUAUAUGCCAAGGACUCCUCUUUCUGGUGACAUUUCUUGGGAGCCUCAGGAUAUUGCCCAAUGAACUUGGCACAAAGAAACUUGGAAAACAUUUCUGCUUUCACCCUGGCCACACUGAAGGCAGGAUUGCUUCUGUCUUUGACCCUGAGAUCUUCCCAGAUCUGGCUGGCAUUCCAGGAUUGGCUUGUGGAACUGGACUUUGCACCUUGUCAGGCACAUGAAGGCAGUAAAUGUUCCUGAGUGUGCACAGGUGUGACCACAUCCCUAGAUGCUUCUGUGUGGGAGGCAUGGGGGAAGGUGGGGAACGUCCCGAGGUGGCGUCUGGUUGGAGGAAGUAGUCACUGGGGGCUGCCUUGUGAGGGUAUGUUUGUCCCUGGCCUCUGUGGCUCUCUUUCUGCCCCCUGGGCCCAUGAGCCGAGCUGCUUUGCUCCGCCUGGCCAUGGACCUCAGCAAUGCAACCAGUGAACCAUGACCUGAGCCCUGAAACCAUGAGCCAAAACAAGUCUUGCUUCUUUUAGGUUGAAUUCCUCAAGUAUUUUGUCACAGUGACAAAAAGCUACCAUGUUUCCUGACUAUAAUAUUCUCUGAUUAACUGACUCUAUCCUCAUGUUAUCACACACCUGACAAGCUUGUAAUAAGGAGAGCCGGAGUGGGGAGUUUUUGUUGCUUCUUGUGUAAGUUUUUUUUCCUGUAACAAAAUGCCCAAGGUAGCUAACUUGCUCAGUUCUGGAGGUUUUGGUCCAUGGUCAGGUGGGUUGCUGGUUUGUUGGUUUGUGUGAGGUAGGACAUCGUGGAGGGGACAUAUAACAGGGGAAUUUUUCACCUCAGGAUGCCAGAAACCAAAGGAGAAGAGGGUCAUCCUUCAGGUCACCCCAGAUGACCUAACUUGCUCCAGCUGGGCCCCACACCUUAAAGGUCAUACCACCUUCCAGUAGCACCAGGGACUGAGGACUGAGAUUGUCAUGGAAGGGCCUUUGGGGACAUUUAUCAGCCACGACACUUCUCAUCCGAAUCCCAUUGACCUUUGGAAGCUUUUCAUUAAUAGGCCUAAUAAUUAGCUAGAGAAAUUUCAGGGCCUGGACUUGUGGGCUCCCAGGGUGACCCCAGAAACCACAUGGGUUCCUCCAAGGAGUCAAAAUCCUAAAGUGCAUACAUUACUGCACAUAUGGUGGGGGAAGCUGGUUCUUUUUCGCUGUCCUCAAGUAUUUAAACAAUUUGUCAAAGCUUGGACUGGAAGGGAACAUUGAAAACCAGUGUACUUAGAGCAGGAAAAAUGCAGGGUGUGAGAGGAAACAUUUGUCCUCACAAUGGCCUUUGAGUAGGGGAGCCAAUUGGGCAGAAGAUGAAUUCUUCAAAUUUAAUGAAAUUAUUCGUGCAACAAAAGAAGGAAAUAAGAGCUGUGUAGGGCAUAUGUGAGAUUUCCUCUUCCUUUUACUGGACAUCUAGCAGAGUCCCGGGCUCUGGCUGGGCCUUUCUGGUUCCACAGCUCUCAACGCUGUCCUGGUACCAAGGCAACUCCCUCUGAAAAUGCUCAGUGAGGAGAGAACCUUCUUCCUGACCCUGAAUCCCUCCUUUGGACCUCUGUGUGUCACUAGAUUCCAACCCCCUCCCCUCGAUCUUCACUGGGUUCCACUUAUAUGCAUGUGUUUGUACAUUUGGGCACACAUGUUUUACACAUUUGACUGUAAGCUUCUAGCACUUUGUAAACCUAGGAGUCUUGCAUAUAAUAAAUAUUUGGUCACAAUUUACAGACGUUACUAUUAACUUUUUUUGGUAGUACUGAGGACCUGCAGAGGACGAUAGCAUUGAUUAUGCCCAAGGCAGGCUGUGAAGAGCCAACCCCACAGUCAGCUUGUUUAUAGAAGUGAGUCCGGCUGAAGCCUACGUGCUGAGGUCAGAGUAACUCGCACCCAAAUUCCAUUCCCACAACUAAAACCUUCAGAUUAGAAGGACAGUGUUCUAAUCACAAUCAUAUAUUUUGUCUAUUCUGUUCCUAAUUUGAGAGUGCCAUGUCUUGUCCUUCACAAGCCUUGUUUACAUUAAUUUCCAUAGAAACCACUCAUUGCUCGCCUUUACCCCAGUUGAUUGCCUAUAAAAGUCAGUGCCUGGGACUGGCCAGGGCCUUUGUCGGUUGCAUUGCAUUGGUCGUCCUGGCUCCCUGCUUUCUCUCCUAGUUCUGUCUCUUCGUGCAUUUAUUUCUCAGACCUGCAUCAUAUACUGGGCAGGUGAGGACUGGAACCCGACUGACUACAGAGGUCUCCAGCAAUUGGUGCCCAUUGUGGGGGCUUGAACUAUAAGCAAUCACCUGCUCAGUGAGGCUACUCAGGGUAAAGAGGAAGAAAAGAAAAAGGAAAAAAAGGAAUCCAGGAUGCAGUGCACCUCACAUCAAGAUAAGGAAGUCUAAACAUGAAGCACAAAACCCUGGAAAAAAGAGGUAGAUGCUUCAGAUGCAAGACGGUAGUAAAGGUAGUCAGCUGGGACCAAAACAUGAGGAAAUCACUUUCAGCCCAAGCUGGCCUGCAGUGUUGAACUAAGUGCUGCAAAAGGUAAAUAUAACCAUCAUUUUUCACCAACAAGAACUUUAGAUAUGGAACUUAGGCAGCGUGUCAAAAAUAACAUCCAGACAACUCAGCAGAGAAGAGAAGUUAUCUCCCCUGAGACUUUAACUGAGACCUUGACAGCUUGGAGCUUUGUGCGCUCUGUUUUGCGGCCCGAACAGUGAAGCCUGGGAGCCGCUCAAGCUUCUGUUUUGCGGCAAUGAGCCGCCGGUGAGAACUGUUUAGUUUUGUUCUUAGAACAACUGCUCCCCAAAUCUGCUGUCUUUCACAAAGCGGACCUGCCUCUCAGGAAAUGUGACAUCGUUACAGGCAAACCCCAGUGCUCCCCUCUGGAGGAGGCCAAGCUUCCUCCCCCUUGACUUGAGCUGCAAGCUCACAGGUGCGGAGGAGGUGGGUAAAAAGCAUGAGGAGAACUGCUUGGCUUCCAUGCACUGGGAAGUGCCAUGGUCACACUCAGAAAAAAUCAAAACUUGCACUCAGAUUGGGAAGAACUGAAAUGAGAAAAUAAAUAAUGGAUUGAAAACAGCUAGAAACGCUUUGGAAAGCAUAAAGCAAAACAAUGAGAAAAACACUCCUGGCUGUAAGAGCCAUGGCCAGCGCUGCGUUAUCAGCCUGAUGCUGCCUGCAAAGGUCUGGAAUCCAAUACAAAGCCAGGGAAACUGCAACUGGUCUCUACCAGACAUAGAGAUUUUAUAAGAGAAAUCAAGCUACAAAUUUUAGCUAAUUGAUAAAUGUAUCUUUGUUAUAAUUUGCGUUGAUGUUUAAUUGGUGUGCCUAAAACAUUUCUUGUGCAUUGCAAAUUCUUGCAUUGUAAUUAUAGGGUUAACUUGUUCUUUUCUGUACUUUGUUGAUGAAGAACUCAAAGUUACUGCUGUUCUAUUGGCAGCCAGUCAAAUUUUAAAUUGUAACAAUCUCAGAACAGAAAAAAAAGAGACACUUUAAAAUUUUAACAGCUGAAGACAAGUUUUUAAUAGAAGAUUUAUAGUAAGUGAGAUGGAGGAAAAAUAUUAAAAAGGCUAUAAGUAAAAGAUAUUUUUGUUGGUACUGGAUAUCAAACUUGGGACCUUGCACUUGCACAGCAGGCACCAGACCCACUGAGCUAAAUCCCUGGCCCAAGAGAUAUAUUUUUGAUAUGAAAGGAUUUUUCUUUUUGCGGGGGUACUGUGGAUUGAACUUGGGACCUUGCGCUUGCAAGGCAGGCAGCAGUACCACUGAGCUAAAUCCCCAGCCCCGAUAUGAAAGGAUUUUGUAUGUUUGUCUUAUUAGAAGAAUAAAGAGAGAUAUACAAGAUCAGAAGGCCUAGGUAUGUUGAGAAGGUGUGUGGAAGUGAUUUAUCAAGAAAAUAUGUAUAUUUGCUUAUUGGCUUCAAGUUUGUUAUAAAAGGUUUGCAUUUACAGGCAUAAAGAGCUUUCAUUCUUUCCAGUUCUACAAGAGAUCUCUGUUAAUUGACUUACAAAGAGUUUUGACCAGUCUUAUUUACAAUUAUGAACCUAAAAAUUAUGAAAGGAUUUAUAAUUCAAUUAAGCUAAAUAUCUAGUUUUAUAAAUUGUCUUAUGUUUGUUUGUUUGCCCGUUUGUCUGUCCAACUGUACAGUUGUGUUGUUUAACAAGUUUAUUCCUUUAAAAAAUUUUUUUUAAAAAGAUAUUUGCUUAUAAUCUAAAUUGGCUUGUAGAUAAAGGUUAUGAAACUUAAAGGCAUGUAUUAUCCCCACCCCAGUUGCUAACAGAUCAAAAUGAUGUAAUAUAUAUUGUUGUCUAAUAUAAUCACUCCAAAACAUUAAUUGGUGGGCUGGAGUUUUAGCUCAGUGGUACUGCCACUUGCCUCGCAAGCACAAGGACCCGAGUUCGAUCCCUAGUACCUAAAAACCCCCACAUGAAUUGGUUACAAAUAAUGUAUUAAUUGUUACAAUCUGGUUUUUACAGGUUAUUAAGUAAGCUUUGUCAAAGGAAUUAAUGAAGAUCCAUAGGUUUAGAGAGAUUGCUAAACAGGACUCCUCUUGGUGAAUACAAGAGCGGCCAUGUGGAAAUAUUUUCCAGCCUUUGCUCACUAGGGGAACCUCAACAGUUUGUAUACUCUUACAACAGACUGAUCCUGAUAGUUUUCAUAGCCUUAAAAGAGACUUACAUCAAUGAAUAUUACUUUAAAAUGUUAUUGUAAUAUGAUUACAUUGGUUGUCAUCAAAGGCUUAAGCUCUAAAUAUGUUAUGUGAUAUGUUUACACUGGUCAUCUUCAAAAGAUUGAAUUUUCUGUGAAAACAAAGCAAGGUUUUAUUGAAAAGAUGCUUUUUACCAAACUAAAUUAGAGGGUAUAAGGUUUCACAUAUAUAACUGUGGUAAUUAUUAUUGUUAACUUUCUGGUGUACUAAAUGUAUUUACGCUUUCUGACUGUACAGGUUUUCUAAUAUAUUGUUUAUGAUAAUAACCUUCUUUUGAUUCAGGUAUUUGCCAUUCUAUUAUACUCCAGCUACUUACGAUAAGAGGUACAUUUAUAAGCUGAUGUAUUUUGUUUAGACGGCAUCCCAUCAAAAGACAACAAUUUGGAUAAUAAUGUUUUGAGUUUUUGGAAGAGAAUGAGUGCAUUUAACAAUGGCUAUUUUAUACCAAGAUGGACACUUAAGUGUGUUACAAAGAUAAUGCCAUCAUGAUUGUCAUGCUAAAAUAUUAUGUGUGGCUCUUGAUUUGAAACUUUUUUUUCUGUUAACAUUUUACAGGAAUUUAAUGGCUAGAACAACCAUGAUUGGUAAUAAUAACAGUCUUCUAACUAUACUUUAUAUUUCAAAGUGCUUGAUAUCCAGGGGCCGGGGAUUUUAGCUCAGUGGUUCCAGUGCCUGACUUGUAAGUGCAAGGUCCUGAGUUUGAUCCCUGGUGCCAACAAAAAAAAAAGUGCUUGAUAUCCAGAUAAAAUUAUGACAGUUAAGUUCACUACUCCCAUUGCAAUGCUAAUGUUAUUGAUAUUCUGUUCUGGGUGUUCAACAACUAAUGCUUAGAUACCAGAAUUAAAAAGAUGACUUGUGGUAAGAAGACAGCCAAUAUUUUGGCCCUGACCCUUCAAGGUCUACAAAUAACCCAGAAAGUGAAGAACAUUUUCUACCUGAUCCUCUCGUUAUUUUGCUUUACCAACUUUGCUCUACCAACUUUGUUAAGUCACCCAACCUCCUGAGCAGAGAGAUUGUUGGACACCAAAAAGAUAAGAAUCAAGAGUGUGCCAAAGGAGUGUCACUUGUAGGGAAAAAUCUCCCACGCUUUCACAGAAAGCAACAUGGUCAAGCAAGCCCAUGACACACCCUGAUGGCUGACACGACAGGAGUUGAAAAGCUCUAUGCAAGGUUCAAGUCAUGUCUGUGGAGACUUAAUUGACCUUGAUAGACUCCAAGAGGUUACUUUUAAUUAAUGUAGGUCUCACCUUAACUUGCUCUUGAACACCCAGUAGAAAAGCAUAAUCCAAAGAUAGAUAAAGUCAGGACCAUAGUAAUACAGCUGGAUAUAAGAAGGGGCUCCAAUUGCUGACCCCUACUGACAGUUUCCAGCUACACUCGUGACUCACUCCUGUUAUGGGUCAAUAGAAAAAACUAUGGUAAAAUUUAUAGACCUCCACAAGAGUUUUAACAUUUUUAGCUGAAAUUGUUUUUUUAAUUAUUAAAUUUUCAGUCUUUUUACAGCUAAAAUUUAAAAAAUUAUGACAAAUAUCAGACUUAUAGAUAACCUCUAUUAAUAAAAGAGUCUAAGAGCCAGCAGUUUACAAUUACUAUUUUAGUCUUUUAAAAACAGUUUCUAAACAUGGCUGUUUCCCCAACCUGCUUUUUUAUUUUAGUACUUAUAAUUUGAUUAUAAUGCUCUAAUUUCUUUAAAAAAUUGUUUAUUCUUGCCUAUAGGCUGCCAAACUCCAAGUGAUUAUGUAGAUAAAAUCAACAACAAAUGUGCUAGAUUUUUUUAACCAAAAUCCACCAGAUUGACUUUGUAUAGAGAGUUUAUAAUUGCUAAAUCACAACAUGAUUUUAUUUAAGGCCUAUUAAAUUAGCUCCCUGAAGAGAGCCUCUGUCUUCCUUACAUCCACGCUUCCCAGCUCGAAGAAGUUAGAUUGAAACUAUGCCCUUUCUCCCCUAGCUGCAGUUGGAGGUGCUCCUUGGAAAGGGAAUUAUUAUAGACAGUUAAGCCAGUUAGACACAUUGUAAGUUUUUGUCACAUAGGGUCCACUGGCUAACUCAUGGGGCCAAGCCAUUGUUGAACGUAUUCACCUUUCCCUAAAGGCACAAUAAACCCAAAGGGGGGGGUGCAGCUACCUCCACAAGCUCAAUUAGAUCUUGUUACUUUCAUUUAAAAAUUUUUAAAUCCACGUAUGGAAAGUAAAUAUAUACAAAGAAAGACCUACAGACAUGUCCUAGACAAUAGUGCUGUCAAAGGAUGUCCUAACUAAAAGGUAAAUGGCUCCAUACAAUUAAUAACAUAGGGGCCAGGGGAUGCUUAUUUUUCAACAGAAAAUAAAAAGAUGUUGUGGCCAUCACCCCAGAACAUACCACCUUGAACCAACAAGAUGGAUUCGCUAUAAGCAGCACGAUGUGACACCCUGCUGAAAGCCAUGCACAGGCUGCCUCUGAUUCACUCCCCUCACCUGCCACAGCCCUGGGACCUGCAAAGAUCACCAGACCUGAUGGAGCUGCUGUUUUCAAACAGAGAAGGGAGAGCUGCGGAGGACUGUAAUAUUAUGCCCAAGGGAGGCUGUGAAGAGCCAACCCCACAGUCAGCUUGUUUAUAGAAGUGAGUCCAGCUGAAGCCUAUGUCCGAGGUCAGAGUAACUCGCACCCAAAUUCCUUUCCCACAACUACACCUUCAGACUAGAAGGACAGUGUUCUAAUCACAACCAUGUAUUUUGUCUAUUCUGUUCCUAACUUGAGAGUGCCAUGUCUUGUCCUUCACAAGCCUUGUUUACAUUAAUUUCCAUAGAAACCACUCAUAGCUCACCUUUACCCCAGUUGAUUGUCCAUAAAAGUCAGUGCCUGGGACUGGCCACUGCCUUUGUUGGCUGCACCAGCACUGGUUGUCCUGGCCCCUGAUUUCUCUCCUACUUCUGUCUCUUAGUGCAUUCUUUUCUCAGGCCUGCAUCACACACUGGCCAGGUGGGGACUGGAACCUGACCGCAGGGGUCUCCAGCAAGGAUCAAAGCCAGGUGCUCUGCCAGUGAACUACAUCCACAGCCCCAUUCACUUACUCAUUUAUUUAUGUAUUUAUUUAGUAUUUUGAGACUGAGUCUCACUAUGUUGCCCAUGUAGUACUGCAGAUAGGUAGGUUAAUUAGAUAUCUUGUAGGCAGUUAGACAGGGCCAGCCCACAAGGAGCCAACAUGGAGGAGAGUGAAGACACAUUCACUGAAGGCCAGCAUUGUAAAAGGAGAGAAAUUAGCCUACCCAUGUAAGAUGAAGAGCAGUGACUGAUGUUCUAAAUAGGUAUAAAUCACCUGGAUGGGGGGCCACGGUCUUACCCCAGCCUUUCCGGGAAAGAUCCCUGACCCACCCUUUCUGAAAACCCUUGUACGCUUGCUACAGGACUUGCUCCGUCAUUUGAUCCCCAUUUAAUCAAUGUUACCUGGGUAACUGUGCUUGCAAUCUUGUUGGUUGGUCAUGGUUUUGCCCCACCUCAUGCCCACCUUGUAAAUUUCCAUUGGGUCUUACAGUUUUGUCCCACUUCGUACCCGCCUCACCACAUGGCUUUGCUGUGUAAAACAUCUUUGAAAGUUAGGGUGGGCGGGCAACCCACUUUCUGGGCCCCCUUCUGUUGCUUUUAGGCAGAAGCUGUCUUUCUCCCAAUAAAGUUUUCCUACUCUUCA